AGAGUUUGAUCAUGGCUCAGGAUGAACGCUAGCGGCAGGCUUAAUACAUGCAAGUCGAGGGGCAGCGCGGGUAGCAAUACCUGGCGGCGACCGGCAAACGGGUGCGGAACACGUACGCAACCUUCCCGAAACUGGUGAAUAGCCCUCCGAAAGGAGGAUUAAUACACCGUAACAUAAUGAAGUGGCAUCACUUUAUUAUUAUAGCCUUCGGGCGGUUUUGGAUGGGCGUGCGCCUGAUUAGGUAGUUGGCUGGGUAACGGCCCACCAAGCCUGCGAUCAGUAACUGGUGUGAGAGCACGACCAGUCACACGGGCACUGAGACACGGGCCCGACUCCUACGGGAGGCAGCAGUAAGGAAUAUUGGUCAAUGGACGAAAGUCUGAACCAGCCAUGCCGCGUGAAGGAUGAAGGUCCUCUGGAUUGUAAACUUCUUUUAUCUGGGACGAAAAAAGGGAAUUCUUUCUCACUUGACGGUACCAGAGGAAUAAGCACUGGCUAACUCCGUGCCAGCAGCCGCGGUAAUACGGAGGGUGCAAGCGUUAUCCGGAUUUACUGGGUUUAAAGGGUGCGUAGGUGGGCAGGUAAGUCAGUGGUGAAAUCCCCGGGCUUAACCCGGGAACUGCCAUUGAUACUAUCUGUCUUGAAUAUCCUGGAGGUGAGCGGAAUAUGUCAUGUAGCGGUGAAAUGCUUAGAUAUGACAUAGAACACCCAUUGCGAAGGCAGCUCACUACGGGAUCAUUGACACUGAGGCACGAAAGCGUGGGGAUCAAACAGGAUUAGAUACCCUAGUAGUCC
rnacentral:rRNA from 1 species